GACGUAGGGCGCGAGCGUUGUCCGGAUUUAUUGGGCGUAAAGAGCUCGUAGGCGGCUCGUUGCGUCGGCUGUGAAAACCCGCAGCUCAACUGUGGGCUUGCAGCUGAUACGGGCGGGCUGGAGUUCGGUAGGGGAGACUGGAAUUCCUGGUGUAGCGGUGAAAUGCGCAGAUAUCAGGAGGAACACCGGUGGCGAAGGCGGGUCUCUGGGCCGAUAUUGACGCUGAGGAGCGAAAGCCAGGGGAGCAAACGGG
rnacentral:rRNA from 1 species